rfam:Eubacterium sp. CAG:252 genomic scaffold, scf228
UGAUACCAGGGUCAAAAGAUAUAAACCCACAUGAGCUUGCUUAUAGGUGAGUGAAUGACCUUGUGACCCGCUCCAAUAUGAGCAUAAAAGUGGGAUGAUAGUCCUACAAUAUGCGAAUAUUGGAGCGGAUUGUGGGAGUGCGCAGCACACAACAAUACGUAAGUAUCA